CCUACGGGUGGCAGCAGUGAGGAAUAUUGGUCAAUGGGCGGAAGCCUGAACCAGCCAAGUCGCGUGAGGGAUUAAGGCCCUGCGGGUCGUAAACCUCUUUUGCCGGGGAGCAGUGGUCCGGACGCGUCCGGACCGGGAGAGUACCCGGAGAAAAAGCAUCGGCUAACUCCGUGCCAGCAGCCGCGGUAAUACGGAGGAUGCGAGCGUUAUCCGGAUUUAUUGGGUUUAAAGGAUGCGUAGGUGGUUAAUUAAGUCAGCGGUGAAAGUUUGUGGCUCAACCAUAAAAUUGCCGUUGAAACUGGUUGACUUGAGUAUAUUUGAGGUAGGCGGAAUGCGUGGUGUAGCGGUGAAAUGCAUAGAUAUCACGCAGAACUCCGAUUGCGAAGGCAGCUUACUAAACUAUAACUGACACUGAAGCACGAAAGCGUGGGGAUCAAACAGGAUUAGAUACCCCUGUAGUC
rnacentral:rRNA from 1 species